rnacentral:snRNA from 1 species
UAUGUUACCUGGCGCCGGGUUAAGGGUGAUCUGAAAUGCUCUGACCCCAGGUAGAGGCUCACCAUUGCACUUCGGUGGGUUGAAACUCGCGACGAACCUUAAUCGGGUGCGCUCGGGCGUGUAGUUUUUGUCAGUGGGGAGGUCUCACAGUCCUUCCUUU